AUUGAACGCUGGCGGCAGGCCUAACACAUGCAAGUCGAGCGGAUGAAGGGAGCUUGCUCCUGGAUUCAGCGGCGGACGGGUGAGUAAUGCCUAGGAAUCUGCCUGGUAGUGGGGGAUAACGUCCGGAAACGGGCGCUAAUACCGCAUACGUCCUGAGGGUGAAAGUGGGGGAUCUUCGGACCUCACGCUAUCAGAUGAGCCUAGGUCGGAUUAGCUAGCUGGUGGGGUAAAGGCCUACCAAGGCGACGAUCCGUAACUGGUCUGAGAGGAUGAUCAGUCACACUGGAACUGAGACACGGUCCAGACUCCUACGGGAGGCAGCAGUGGGGAAUAUUGGACAAUGGGCGAAAGCCUGAUCCAGCCAUGCCGCGUGUGUGAAGAAGGUCUUCGGAUUGUAAAGCACUUUAAGUUGGGAGGAAGGGCAGUAAGUUAAUACCUUGCUGUUUUGACGUUACCAACAGAAUAAGCACCGGCUAACUUCGUG
rnacentral:rRNA from 1 species